AGGAAACCGGAGCACCCGGAGGAAACCCACGCGGUCACAGGGAAAACGUGCAAACUCCACACGGACAGUAUCCGAGUUCAGGAUCGA